AAAGACCUUAUGCUUUUGGAGCGGCCGAUGUCUGAUUAGCUAGUUGGUAAGGUAAUGGCUUACCAAGGCGACGAUCAGUAGUUGGUCUGAGAGGACGGCCAGCCACACUGGGACUGAGACACGGCCCAGACUCCUACGGGAGGCAGCAGUGGGGAAUUUUGGACAAUGGGCGCAAGCCUGAUCCAGCAAUGCCGCGUGAGUGAAGAAGGCCUUCGGGUUGUAAAGCUCUUUCAGUCGAGAAGAAAAGGUUGUGACUAAUAAUCAUAACUCAUGACGGUAUCGACAGAAGAAGCACCGGCUAGCUACGUGCCAGCAGCCGCGGUAAUACGUAGGGUGCGAGCGUUAAUCGGAAUUACUGGGCGUAAAGGGUGCGCAGGCGGUUCCGUAAGUCAGAUGUGAAAUCCCCGGGCUUAACCUGGGAACU
rnacentral:rRNA from 1 species